rnacentral:rRNA from 1 species
AUUGAACGCUGGCGGCAGGCCUAACACAUGCAAGUCGAACGAGUGGCGGACGGGUGAGUAAUGUCUGGGAAACUGCCUGAUGGCGGGGGAUAACUACUGGAAACGGUAGCUAAUACCGCAUACCCUCGGAUGUGCCCCGAUGGGAUUAGCUAGUAGGUGGGGUAAAAGCUCACCUAGGCGACGAUCCCUAGCUGGUCGGAGAGGAUGAACAGCCAAACGGGAACUGAGAAACGGUCCAGAGUCCGACGGGAGGCAGCAGUGGGUAAUAUUGCACAAUGGGCGCAAGCCUGAUGCAGCCAUGCCGCGUGUGGGAAGAAGGCCUUCGGGUUGUAAAGCACUGUCAGCGAGGAGGCGUUACUCGCAGAAGAAGCACCGGCUAACUCCGUGCCAGCAGCCGCGGUAAUUC